UUGGCAUUCACUGUGCAAACUACAUUCUGCUCAACGUCUCUCGAUAUCGUGAAUUUGUGUUGCUAACUAUAAAAUCCGAACAUUUAGGUUUUAUUUUUAAAACGGCUUAUACUCCCGAAUAUAUCUGAAUUUUAUGCCCAACCUCCCUCAUUAACAACGAAAUUAAUUCAUUGUGAAAUCAACUUUGGUCGCUGUAGUAAUCCUUUCAGAAAAAAGAGAAGAUUAAGACAAGCAGCGUGAGAUAUCGGAUUUUCUUUUGAGGUGUCACAGAGGGCAUCUUAAAACCCACACAAGAGCAACGCAUGCAUCUACUAAAUUCUUGAUUUAAUUGUUUGGUUCCUCCAGUAAAUGUGAUCUUCUGUAUAUAUACCCAAACAUAAUGACCAUCGUACAAUUAAAGUGACAAUUAGUGGUGGUCAUGUUGGGAAAACAACGCCAUAUCCGAAGUGAAGAUGCUGAUUAGUUGACACCAUUUGGCCGUAAAGUUAAACAAAAUAAAAUGCGUGGUUUAUUGAAUUGUGGCUGCCACUAUCUCACAUGGUCGAUCAGAGGCACAGAGAUUCCUCUGGUGAGUGUCUUCUUCUCCUGAACGCAACAUGACCGCAGUGAGGCGAUUUGUCUGCAUUUGCGUGGCGCAGUGGUUUACAUUUGAAGCUGUUGUGGCUUUGAACGAUGAAGACACACACGGUAUGCUCCAAAAAACAUUUCAAACUAUAUGGUGUGUGGAAAAUGCACUCCUCUGCGUGAAAGACAGAAGUUUACAAGAUUUGGAACUCUCGCCAUCACCUACACUGGUGGAUUGUAUUUCACGAAAAACUUCAUUAAACUGCACACAAAAUUCAUGGUGUGUUUGUAGGGGGUAUGGGUAUGGAGGGAGCGCGAGAUCUCUGACAUCUAUCCCAAAAACAAUCUUCCCUCGUACUCAAUGUUCUGCAUAAUAUACAAUACAACACACCAAAUGAGUAAUUUCGUGCACUGAGAAGACGCGGGUGUAGUAAAAACACUAAUUAAAUUUUCCACUGGGAAAUAGUGUUUGUUUUUUACACAAAUACCCCGCCAUGAGUCAAGAUGUUGGAGAUUUAUUGCCACACCAGCACUAUUUGGAAAUCAACAAGUUUACAAAUUUUAUUCAACUAUUUUCCUUCAUGAAGAAUCUUCAGAAUGAUCACCUCAAUGAUCGAUCUGUGUCAUCCAAAGAAGCCAUUGAGUGUGGAAGAGAAAUAAUUCCUGGUAGAUCUCAUGUGAGUAUAAACGGCACCAUAAGAAGCCACCAGAAGUUUUUCAACACCAAACAGCCCUAAAAUGGUGAUCACCAAAAAAAUAAAUAAAACAACGUGGAUAUGGCCAACAUAUUGAAUCUCAAUAUUUGGAGAUGGUUUCUCCCUGAGAGAUGGUACACCAUGUUCCUUUGCCAGAGAUCUUUCCAAUACGGCAUAACAUCUCCCGAAAGAAAAAAAUACUUAUGAUUCUGUCUUGAACAUAAAAGUAAAUUGUUUGAUGAAGAAGUCAAAUAUUGUCUCCAUUUCGGUAUAUUUUCGAUUUAAUAUUUGCACUCAACCGUGCUUUUGAACUCUAUAUACUUGAACACAGAAUACACGUUUUGUGAGUAAUUCUACAAAAAGAACAAGAUGUUCUUGGAAGAUAAAUUCAAUAAUGUUAAGAAGCUGCUGUGAAAAUUUCAAACAUUAUAAAAAAACAUUUAAAUUAAAAUUUGUAAGAGGAAAGGAAAGGGAUAUUUUGUGAAAUUGAUAUUUUAAGAAAAGAUCAUUUAGAUUAAAGAAAAAUCAAAAA